rnacentral:rRNA from 1 species
CCUACGGGGGGCAGCAGUGGGGAAUAUUGCACAAUGGGGGAAACCCUGAUGCAGCGACGCCGCGUGAGUGAAGAAGUAUCUCGGUACGUAAAGCUCUAUCAGCAGGGAAGAAAAUGACGGUACCUGACUAAGAAGCCCCGGCUAACUACGUGCCAGCAGCCGCGGUAAUACGUAGGGGGCAAGCGUUAUCCGGAUUUACUGGGUGUAAAGGGAGCGUAGGCGGGAGUACAAGUCUGGAGUGAAAUCCCGGGGCUUAACCCCGGGACUGCGUUGGAAACUGAGGGGCUGGAGUGGAGGAGGGGUAAGCGGAAUUCCUAGUGUAGCGGUGAAAUGCGUAGAUAUUAGGAGGAACACCGGUGGCGAAGGCGGCUUACUGGACUGUAACUGACGUUGAGGCUCGAAAGCGUGGGGAGCAAACAGGAUUAGAUACCCCAGUAGUC